UGGGGAAUUUUGGACAAUGGGGGAAACCCUGAUCCAGCCAUCCCGCGUGUGCGAUGAAGGCCUUCGGGUUGUAAAGCACUUUUGGCAGGAAAGAAACGUCAUGGGUUAAUACCCCGCGAAACUGACGGUACCCGCAGAAUAAGCACCGGCUAACUACGUGCCAGCAGCCGCGGUAAUACGUAGGGUGCAAGCGUUAAUCGGAAUUACUGGGCGUAAAGCGUGCGCAGGCGGUUCGGAAAGAAAGAUGUGAAAUCCCAGAGCUCAACUUUGGAACUGCAUUUUUAGCUACCGGGCUAGAGUUUGUCAGAGGGAGGUGGAUUUCCGCGUGUAGCAGUGAAGUGCGUAGAUGUGCGAAGAAACACCGAUGGCGAGGGCAGCCUCCUGGGAUAACACUGACGCUCAUGAACGAGGGCGUGGGGAGCAAACAGG
rnacentral:rRNA from 1 species